AUUCUAACACUGCUUAAGGAAAACAAAAGCUAGUUUCUAAAAGCUUUUAAAACACUGGCUUUAAAAAGAGAACCAUGAGCAAUUAUACUAUUUUGUGUGACAUUUACAAGCCCAAAGAAUCAAAAUAACUGAUUUUCCAGGGUACUACUCAGCAAUCAAGUAGCACAUACAGGGACGUCUUGCAAUAGGUUUUGGUGCCCUGCUGGCCUAUCCCACUGAAACUCGAGCUGGGUAUUUAAAUCUCAUAGGUGUCUAAUCCUUAAGCAGUGUUUUUGCCUGAGUGAGAGCUGAAUGAGGAUUUCAGGAUACUGUCCCAACUGUCAACAUGAAAGCAAAACUCCCAAGAGCAGCAGAUGAGACAAAAUGUGGGUUGGUAAUUCUCACAAUGGGCAGAAAAGCAGAAUCAGAACCAUGAAGUGUGUGUGUAUUUCUAGCUCAUUUCCAGAUAAUUGAAAAUGAAAAUAUGCGAACACAUAAUAAAAAAAGCUGGAACACUGCAAGAAUCAGAACCUGCCUUGAAGAAAGAAAGAAAGAAAGAAAGAAAGAUUCUAGAUCAUUUCCAGAUAAUUGAAAGCUGAAAUAUGCAAACGCAUAAUAACAGGGUUAGAACAAGAUCCUGCAUAGUGAAUGUACUGUGAAUUAUCAUUGCUUAGAAGAGAGUCUGAAUUUCCCUAUUCACAUGCGAAGCUUGGGGCUCAUGUUACUCACCUCAUGAGAAUUGGGUGGGUCUAAGGGAAAAAAAACCCCUAUCAACUGAUGUUGACGAAAAAGUAAGGUCAUGGCAAAACCACCAUUUUGACUUCCCUGAAAACAAAUGUGUCAUGUGUUUAUAAGGUGCACAUGCAUGAGACUUUGCUGGCACAUUAAGAAAGUACAUGCCAUUCCUGCAGGGCUAAAUCUGCUUAAAGGCUUCCUCCAGUUGAAGACAAGUCCUAUAAAACAUCUACUGCCUAUGAAUACAAAUGGCAGAUGCAUUCUGUCCGUGCUUUCAUAGCUGAUUGGUAUCAUACAGGAUUUUUGUUGGACUAUUAGCAUGUCUUUUGAUUAGCAUAAAAGCAAAAGCAUUGAUAAGAUUUAUAAUUUCAUUCUGUGUAUCAUUAGAAGGAAUACACUGAAUAUUUGUGCAGAUAAAACACAAUGUUAAUAUAGCACAACACGUCUGAUUAUAAACUUCAGUUUUAUUUGGGUGGAUAUUUGGGUCAGUUUCUGUUUCAUCUGAAUCAUUUUGCCCUUCCCUAUCUGUAAAAACACUUGUUUCAGGAUAAUGAAUAGAAACAACCACAGCUUGCUUCAGCAUGUUAGCUUAGUGCUUUGUAUUGGUUACCUGACUCACUAACUUACCACAGCAACCUUUGACAGGAUGUCUGACGCCAAAAUUAUUUAUCUACCAAAAUCUGCUGGGGCCUGAUUUCUCAGCAAGACAAGAGUACAACAAAAAUCCCUAAUGAUAUCUCAAAUGAAGAUUACUAUCUAUUGUGUUAUCUACAGCAUCCAUCCAUGGUAAGUGCUUCUUACCAUGUAAAAGAAAACAUUGAACACAACUGAGCACUUCUCAGUAGAAUGGGUGUUUUAAAAGAACAUAUUUGAAAUGGUCAUGUGUUCUAACCAAAAGCAUGACCCUGCACCCACUGAAGUUAAUAGCAAAAUUCAUCCUGACUUUAGUGGCAAC